rnacentral:piRNA from 1 species
UAGGCUCUCAGGCAGUUUUCAAUUAGGUCC